UACAGAGGGUGCAACGACGGUUAAUCCGGAACUUAACGGUAGGGCGGUAAAGCGUACGUAGGCGGUUAGUUAAGUUGGAUGUGAAAGCCCCCGGGCUCAACCUGGGAAUUGCAUUCAAAACUGGCUAACUAGAGUAUGUGAGAGGGGGUAGAAUUCCAAGUGUAGCGGUGAAAUGCGUAGAGAUUUGGAGGAAUACCAGUGGCGAAGGCGGCCCCCUGGCACAAUACUGACGCUGAGGUGCGAAAGCGUGGGGAGCAAACAGGAUUAGAUACCCGGGUAGU
rnacentral:rRNA from 1 species